rnacentral:snRNA from 1 species
CUAGCUCCUGCUAACACCAGUCCCUAACGCAUAAGAUCAGGGUAGUAUCUGUUCUUAUCAGUAUCUGACACGUCCUUCAUCAGAGGACAACCUAGUAAAUCCAUUUUUGCAAGUAGGAGUUGGACUAGGAGUUGCUCCAUCCGCUUCGUGCACUAACCUGGUAUUGCCGUACUUCCAGGAAAAAAAAAAAAAAG